CUCAAAGAUUAAGCCAUGCAUGUCUAAGUAUAAGCAACUAUACUGUGAAACUGCGAAUGGCUCAUUAAAUCAGUUAUCGUUUAUUUGAUAGUACCUUACUACAUGGAUAACCGUGGUAAUUCUAGAGCUAAUACAUGCUAAAAACCCCGACUUCGGAAGGGGUGUAUUUAUUAGAUAAAAAACCAAUGCCCUUCGGGGCUCCUUGGUGAUUCAUAAUAACUUUACGAAUCGCAUGGCCUUGUGCCGGCGAUGGUUCAUUCAAAUUUUUGCCCUAUCAACUUUCGAUGAUUGAGUAGUGGUCAAUCAUGGUAUCGACGGGUAACGGAGAAUUAGGGUUCGAUUCCGGAGAAGGAGCCUGAGAAACGGCUGCUACAUCCAAGGAAGGCAGCAGGCGCGCAAAUUGCCCAAUCCCAAUACGGGGAGGCAGUGACAAUACAUACUGAUACAGGGCUCUUUUGGGUCUUGUAAUUGGAAUGAGUACAAUUUAAAUACCUUAACGAGGAACAAUUGGAGGGCAAGUCUGGUGCCAGCNGCCGCGGUAAUUCCNGCUCCAAUAGCGUAUAUUAAAGUUGUUGCAGUUAAAAAGCUCGUAGUUGAACUUUGGGCCUGGCUGGCCGGUCC
rnacentral:rRNA from 1 species